AGCUAAUUAUAACAGUUCCAGUACCUUACGAUGCAGCCGAGGGGACUGACGCCACCACCCACCACUGCCACCACCGCCACAACAAGGGUUAUUCAAAUGGGGAACAUGCUUCAGGUGUUGCCCCAACAGAUGCCUCAGCCCCGCAGCCCCACUUCCCCAUGAUAGUGCAGGCAGGGAAUGUCAUACAGGUUGUUCCAGCUGACAACACGCAGGUAUUAGGGGCAGAAGUCGUUGGAGUUGGUCGGGUCAUGCAAGUGGUCGGAGUCCCAGGCUUUCCCCCGACCCCAGCCCCAGACCCCUGCCCCAGCCACCCCUCUCCCUGUGACCCCUGCCCAGUCAUCCCUCACCCCCUCCUGCCCCCCUGCGGUGCUGCCAGCGGGGGUGAUGGGAGGUGGAGGUGGGCCACACACACCUGGGUUAGCUGUGGCUUGGCUUAUCUCCCUCCUCAGCAGCAAAUCCCGAGGAUCAACGAGGACAUGGUGGACCCAGAGAUUGCAGCAGCAGCAAGAGAGAGAGAGAGAAGCAAGAGAGGAGGGAGAGGAAGGAGAGGAGGAGGAGAGAGAGGGAGGCCAGGAGGGAGGCACGUCAGAGAGAGAGGGAGAGGAAGAGGUUGAUUCUGUUACAACAACAACUGCAACAACAACAACAGUUAGUCAGUGAGGAGGGGGAGGGGCCGUCCUCUGAUGCUGAGGAUGAGGUAUUGUUCAGGGAGGCCAUGUCGGAGGUGCCGGUGGUGGGGUCGCCAGUUCCGGAGUACGAGGUGGAGGAGGAAAAGGAAGAGGAGGACGAGGAGGAGGCACGGAUAAGGAAGAAGAAAAGAUUAUUACCUGUAGCCCUCCCUCCAGCUGAUAAGGGGAUAUUAAGGAGCCCUUCCUACAGGUGUGUCUGUCUACCUGUGUGUCUCUUUCUAUCUCUCCUUUUCAUUUUUCCAGUUUCCCAUUAUUUUCUCCACCCUCUCACUGUCUUUUCUCAGCCUCUCACAACCUAUCACACCCUCUCCCAGCUAUUCACAGCCACUCACAGCCUCUCUCUCUCUCACUCUAUCUCAUUCCCAGUGUAUCCAGACCAUUCCAGACUCACCCCAAACUGUCCCCAAGACUUCCAGUCCAUCCCAACUUCUCACAGCCUCUUCCAGCCUUUCACAGCCUCUCUCUCUCUCUCUCUCUCUCUCUCUCUCUCUCUCUCUCUCUCUCUCUCUCUCUCUCUCUCUCUCUCUCUCUCUCUCUCUCUCUCUCUC